rnacentral:rRNA from 1 species
CCUACGGGAGGCUGCAGUGAGGAAUCUUGGUCAAUGGACGAGAGUCUGAACCAGCCAAGUAGCGUGAAGGAUGACUGCCCUAUGGGUUGUAAACUUCUUUUAUAUGGGAAUAAAAUGUUCCACGUGUGGGAUUUUGUAUGUACCAUAUGAAUAAGGAUCGGCUAACUCCGUGCCAGCAGCCGCGGUAAUACGGAGGGUCCGAGCGUUAUCCGGAUUUAUUGGGUUUAAAGGGAGCGUAGGUGGAUUGUUAAGUCAGUUGUGAAAGUUUGCGGCUCAACCGUAAAAUUGCAGUUGAAACUGGCAGUCGUGAGUACAGUAGAGGUGGGCGGAAUUCGUGGUGUAGCGGUGAAAUGCUUAGAUAUCACGAAGAACUCCGAUUGCGAAGGCAGCUCACUGGACUGCAACUGACACUGAGGCUCGAAAGUGUGGGUAUCAAACAGGAUUAGAUACCCCUGUAGUC